rnacentral:rRNA from 1 species
UACGGAGGGUGCAAGCGUUAUCCGGAUUUACUGGGUUUAAAGGGUGUGUAGGCGGACUAUUAAGUCAGCGGUGAAAUCUCCGGGCUCAACCCGGAAACUGCCAUUGAUACUAUUAGUCUUGAAUGUUGUUGAGGUGGGCGGAACGGGUCAUGUAGCGGUGAAAUGCAUAGAUAUGACCCGGAACACCGAUUGCGAAGGCAGCCCACUAAGCAAUGAUUGACGGCUGAGGCACGAAAGCGUGGGGAUCAAACAGGAGUUAGA